UAAAACUAAGAUCAAAAUUUACCAAAACUUCCAGGAUUGUGACUAUUUUGGCUCUUAUUGACUUAUAGAUUUUAUGAUAAAAGCUAAUGGUUAGCUUACACAUCAUGACCGCAGAUUCCAUGACAGAUGCUACCAGGACACUUGAAGCUGCAAUAAAGUAUAGAUUGCAUAGGAAAUUGUUCAUGGAUAAAGUUAUCCAAGCAUUGGAGAUUUAUCAAGAGCAAAUACUGUUCUGAUCCAAUCUACAUACUGGAGAUUAGUCACGAAAAUUUUGUAACGCUGCUAUUUACCUGUAAUCAUGUAUCACCGAAAACAAAUGCUCAUUAUCUAUGAAAUGCAGGUUCUUCA